UACGUAGGUGGCAAGCGUUGUCCGGAUUUAUUGGGUUUAAAGGGUGCGUAGGUGGACUAGUAAGUCAGUGGUGAAAUCUCCGGGCUUAACCCGGAAACUGCCAUUGAUACUAUUAGUCUUGAAUACCGUGGAGGUCAGCGGAAUAUGUCAUGUAGCGGUGAAAUGCUUAGAUAUGACAUAGAACACCAAUUGCGAAGGCAGCUGGCUACACGAAUAUUGACACUCAGGCACGAAAGCGUGGGGAUCAAACAGG
rnacentral:rRNA from 1 species